ACACCACUACCAUCGCCGGAGAAGCUCCGUGCCAAGCACUUCGGGGAACCAGGAUCCUGCGGAUCUUCCCGCUGUCGCCGAAGCGAAAGAGCCCAGCCAAAGCAGUAAGGACUCUGAAGAGGAUACUGAAGAGACCACUGAUGUGGAGCAGGUCGAUGACCAUGAAGAUAUCAAAAUGGCAAAGCAGCCCGUGAUCCCGCGCAAGAUGUACCAGGUCCAAGUGGCCUAAGACAAGGCAAGUCUGCAAAAGAUACAAAGACCACCAGUGUCCGUGAACCACCUCGCAUUUUGUCACAAGUGAUACGGAGCCAGAGAUUGAAUUUCUACCAGCUCAAUUAAAGCCACGUGCUUCUGAUGUGUCUCUGACUGAGAAGCCGUUGAAGUCAUCCUUGAAGAAGUCGUCCAUUUCACCCGAUGACCAGCCUUAGGAAGUUAUGGCUUCUUUCCAAACCUGGACACACGAACUGCAGAUUAUGGAAAGCAGUAUGCUGACGUCCCCUUAUCAUCAACUGUCCGAGAUUCUUCACAAGAGCAAAACGAAUCUGAUGGGGGCCAGCACAAAGUUGCUUUUAUUUUGGGUAAUUAAUAUUCUGUUUUGAGUUUUUUGUUGUUGUGAGGCCUUUUCCAAUCAGCACCGGAAACAUAACUUAGCUGUUCACGGUGCUUACUUUUAAUGUCACAUUUGCUUUGCCGAUGUAACACAUUCAUGUUGGUCGGCAAUCUGGCUAACUAUUCCCUGUGUGCUGUGCUACAUAACAGAUAUGCCUCGAAGCCUCUUGUAAAUUUUCUUACUGAUCACAUUUCUUCAUAUAAAACAUACCA